UUGCAUAAUAGUAUAAUAGUUUAAAAGAAUUUUAAUAAUGCAAUAUUUACUUUUGCAUAAUAAAUUUUGGUAACAAUUUCAUUAAAACUCAAAAUGUAACUUUGUUGAACUUAAAUGUCGCUAAACAACGCUAGCUACCUGAAAUGACGUAGUCAUAAGUAAGGCAUAACGUUGUCUAUUGUUUUGAUACCCGGCUAUGAAUAGAACGGGGCGAAAGUUCUAUAUCGUACUCAGUUUAAAACAAUAUGAUAUGGCUUAUAUAUGUCAUUGGUAUAUUAACUUUCAAUAAUUUAUCGAAAAUUUAGCAUAGAUUACUGAGAAAUGUAACUUGUAAUGGAUGAACAAGAGUUUUUACGUUAUAAACUGAGUAUCAUCGUGUAUUUAUGAAAUGUACCGAAUGGGACUCCAUACUUCGAAUAAGUCAGCAGUGCGUACUGUGAGUCAUUCACUACGUUCGAGAAGUAUGUAAUGCUGCAGUGGAUAUGGAUUUCAAGUAUGUGAUUUAAGACGUGAGUGAGGUUGUUGUUAUUUUUGUGGUGUUUUUUAGACGUGGUCAGUUCUUUGUUGAGAAGGCAGUCCCCUUUACAAAGCAGGCUGUGAUAGAGAAAUAACUUCGGAUUGAUGAGCUUUCGCAUUUCCCCUUACUGAAUUCUAUAUAUUAAU